rnacentral:rRNA from 1 species
CGUAGGAGAUGACUACGUUGAUAGGCUAUAGAUGUAAAGGCAGUAAUGUCAUAGUCGAGUAGUACUAAUAACCCGUAAGCUUAUGUAC